UACGUAGGUGGCAAGCGUUGUCCGGAUUUACUGGGCGUAAAGGGCGUGCAGGCGGUCUGUUAAGUCUAGGGUGAAAGCUCCCGGCUCAACUGGGAGAGGUCCUUGGAUACUGGCGGACUUGAGGGAGGCAGAGGAAAGUGGAAUUCCCGGUGUAGUGGUGAUAUGCGUAGAUAUCGGAGGAACACCAGUGGCGAAGGCGGCUUUCUGGGCCUUACCUGACGCUGAGGAACGAAAGCGUGGGGAGCGAACAGG
rnacentral:rRNA from 1 species